rnacentral:rRNA from 1 species
GCAGCCGCGGUAAUACGGAAGAUGCGAGCGUUAUCCGGAUUUAUUGGGUUUAAAGGGAGCGUAGGCGGGCUGUUAAGUCAGCGGUAAAAUGUCAAGGCCCAACCUUGUCCUGCCGUUGAAACUGGCGGUCUUGAAUGCACACAAGGGAGAUGGAAUUCGUCGUGUAGCGGUGAAAUGCUUAGAUAUGACGAAGAACUCCGAUUGCGAAGGCAGUCUCCUGGGGUGUAAUUGACGCUGAGGCUCGAAAGUGCGGGUAUCAAACAGGAUUAGAUACCCC